rnacentral:rRNA from 1 species
UUGUCCAGGCAAAUCCGGAUAAUCAAGGCUGAGGUGUGAUGACGAGGCACUACGGUGCUGAAGUAACAAAUGCCCUGCUUCCAGGAAAAGCCUCUAAGCAUCAGGUAACAUUAAAUCGUACCCCAAACCGACACAGGUGGUCAGGUAGAGAAUACCAAGGCGCUUGAGAGAACUCGGGUGAAGGAACUAGGCAAAAUGGUGCCGUAACUUCGGGAGAAGGCACGCUGGUGUGUAGGUGAAGUCCCUGCGGAUGGAGCUGAGACCAGUCGAAGAUACCAGCUGGCUGCAACUGUUUAUUAAAAACACAGCACUGUGCAAACACGAAAGUGGACGUAUACGGUGUGACGCCUGCCCGGUGCCGGAAGGUUAAUUGAUGGGGUUAUCCGUAAGGAGAAGCUCUUGAUCGAAGCCCCGGUAAACGGCGGCCGUAACUAUAACGGUCCUAAGGUAGCGAAAUUCCUUGUCGGGUAAGUUCCGACCUGCACGAAUGGCGUAAUGAUGGCCAGGCUGUCUCCACCCGAGACUCAGUGAAAUUGAACUCGCUGUGAAGAUGCAGUGUACCCGCGGCAAGACGGAAAGACCCCGUGAACCUUUACUAUAGCUUGACACUGAACAUUGAGCCUUGAUGUGUAGGAUAGGUGGGAGGCUUUGAAGCGUGGACGCCAGUCUGCGUGGAGCCAACCUUGAAAUACCACCCUUUAAUGUUUGAUGUUCUAACGUUGGCCCCUGACCGGGGUUGCGGACAGUGUCUGGUGGGUAGUUUGACUGGGGCGGUCUCCUCCCAAAGCGUAACGGAGGAGCACGAAGGUUAGCUAAUCCUGGUCGGACAUCAGGAGGUUAGUGCAAUGGCAUAAGCUAGCUUGACUGCGAGCGUGACGGCGCGAGCAGGUGCGAAAGCAGGUCAUAGUGAUCCGGUGGUUCUGAAUGGAAGGGCCAUCGCUCAACGGAUAAAAGGUACUCCGGGGAUAACAGGCUGAUACCGCCCAAGAGUUCAUAUCGACGGCGGUGUUUGGCACCUCGAUGUCGGCUCAUCACAUCCUGGGGCUGAAGUAGGUCCCAAGGGUAUGGCUGUUCGCCAUUUAAAGUGGUACGCGAGCUGGGUUUAGAACGUCGUGAGACAGUUCGGUCCCUAUCUGCCGUGGGCGCUGGAGAAUUGAGGGGGGCUGCUCCUAGUACGAGAGGACCGGAGUGGACGCAUCACUGGUGUUCGGGUUGUCAUGCCAAUGGCACUGCCCGGUAGCUAAAUGCGGAAGAGAUAAGUGCUGAAAGCAUCUAAGCACGAAACUUGCCCCGAGAUGAGUUCUCCCUGAGACUUUAAGUCUCCUGAAGGAACGUUGAAGACGACGACGUUGAUAGGCCGGGUGUGUAAGCGCAGCGAUGCGUUGAGCUAACCGGUACUAAUGAACCGUGAGGCUUAACCUUACAACGCCGAAG